rnacentral:rRNA from 1 species
GGAAUAUUGGUCAAUGGGCGUAAGCCUGAACCAGCCAAGUAGCGUGCAGGAAGACUGCCCUAUGGGUUGUAAACUGCUUUUAUGCGGGGAUAAAGUGCCGUACGUGUACGGUAUUGCAGGUACCGCAUGAAUAAGGACCGGCUAAUUCCGUGCCAGCAGCCGCGGUAAUACGGAAGGUCCGGGCGUUAUCCGGAUUUAUUGGGUUUAAAGGGAGCGUAGGCGGUUUGUUAAGCGUGACGUGAAAUGUAGUGGCUCAACCACUGAACUGCGUCGCGAACUGGCAGGCUUGAGUGGACUGGAAGUGUGCGGAAUUCGUGGUGUAGCGGUGAAAUGCUUAGAUAUCACGAAGAACUCCGAUUGCGAAGGCAGCACACUGUGGUUUUACUGACGCUGAUGCUCGAAGGUGCGGGUAUCGAACA